UACGGAGGGGGCUAGCGUUGUUCGGAAUUACUGGGCGUAAAGCGCACGUAGGCGGCUUUGUAAGUUAGAGGUGAAAGCCCGGAGCUCAACUCCGGAACUGCCUUUAAGACUGCAUCGCUUGAACGUCGGAGAGGUAAGUGGAAUUCCGAGUGUAGAGGUGAAAUUCGUAGAUAUUCGGAAGGACACCAGUGGCGAAGGCGACUUACUGGACGACUGUUGACGCUGAGGUGCGAAAGCGUGGGGAGCAAACAGG
rnacentral:rRNA from 1 species